GCAAACUUGGUCAUUUAGAGGAAGUAAAAGUCGUAACAAGGUUUCCGUAGGUGAACCUGCGGAAGGAUCAUUAACAAAUUGUCCGCUUUAUGGAUAAUUUAUCCAUAUCCACCUUGUGUGCAUUAAUGAAACGUUGAUUGGCAGGAGCCUCGGCGCCUGCCAAUUUUAUUCGUCUCAACACGUCUAAUUUCAUCUUUUUGGACUGAAAUUAAUUUAUAUAACAAACACAACUUUCAACAACGGAUCUCUUGGCUCUCGCAUCGAUGAAGAACGCAGC
rnacentral:misc_RNA from 1 species